CAGGAGAAUCUACUUUUUAAAUUGAUGAAUAAAUCUAAUCCAUGUAAUUUCAGGAAACCAGAAAAGAAGAAGUGUUACCAAAUAGUAGGGGUGGGCAUACUACCGACCGAACCGAAAAAACCGGCCAAACCGAAUAUAUUGGUUUAUUCGGUUUCGGUUUUCGAUUUAUUCGGUCGGCUUGCAGUUUAUUAUUUUAAAAAGUUCGGUGUCCGGUUCGGUGGUCGAUUUUAAUGGUUCGUUUUUAUAUAGUGGAUGCCUGACGUCUUAUCAAAAAACUUCAUCUAGCUUACCAGGAAAGUAAUGCUUAUGGAAAAGGAGUUAUGCUACCUUGUUUGUCAACCAUAAUAAACUAUUCGAACAUCUUGUAAAAACAUCAUUUGGUGUUUGAUAGAAUUUCGAGAGGGACUUGUUUUUGUAUUUUAGUCGACUAUCUCAUUUCCUAGUUGACCAAUUCAAUAACAGGAAAUCCUUUUCAUUUUUCAGUAGCCAUUUCAAAUUGUUUUAGUUAAGUAAAUUUGAGGAAAAAAGAGAAACUUCUGAAAAAUGGCUUGCUUCAGCAGAAUACCAUGCUUUACCUGGUAAUGGAGGUCUAAAACCAUUUUAAUGCAAUAAUAGUAUGAGACUCAGCAAUGGAUUUUAUUUCAAUUACAGGAAAUGCAACACAGAUAUUCACAUGGGUUAUUAUAAUGAUUGACAAAGUUGCUUCAUCUUACAGUUACUAGCAAUAAAAAAUAUUAUUUGAGCUUCAAAUGGGGAAACAAAACUGUGCCAGCUGAAGUCUAAGAAACACAAAAAUUUAGUAUGGGUGAAGUUAUCUAUCUUCAAUUUGCUUUGGGAACUGACACAAAUAAAGAAAAAUUAAAAUGUUUUGUCAAUGGCUUGAUCAUCAAGAGUGCAUAAUAGAGCUGUAAACAGCGAAAACAAACAAGGAAACAAGGAACUGAAACAUAAUCAAGGGUAAAAUUUUCAGUAUAUAAGCUGAUAACAAGAGAAGACCUCUAAGUUGAAGAAUGAGCUUUUAACACAGUCAGUAUCUAUUUUUGUUGUUUCGUACUAUUUUUGUCAUGGCUUGAAACUGAAAAACCGAACCGAUUAAACCAAACCGCACAUGAAUAAAUCGAACCGAACCGAAGUUAUUAUGGUUCAAUUUUGGUUAUCAAAAUCACAAACCGAAAACCGAAUUAACCGAACCGAAAUUUUACAAAAUUGAACCGAACACCCCAUACCAAAUAGACCAGGCUAAGGCAUAUCAAGCCAAAUGGAAUAUGUUCAAUGUCAGUAUCCUAGAAAUAGAUUUCUCUUUUACUUGCUUGGUCAUCCAAUAGCUAUAUCUUGGUUAGGUAAACAAUUACUACAAUCUACAUAAUUCUAACAUGAAAAGUUUAAAAUGAGGAUAAUCUCCGCAAAACCCA
rnacentral:lncRNA from 1 species